rnacentral:rRNA from 1 species
GACGAACGCUGGCGGCGUGCUUAACACAUGCAAGUCGAACGGAAAGGCCCUGCUUGCAGGGUACUCGAGUGGCGAACGGGUGAGUAACACGUGGGUGAUCUGCCCUGCACUUCGGGAUAAGCCUGGGAGACUGGGUCUAAUACCGGAUAGGAGCCAUUUUUAGUGUGAUGGUUGGAAAGUUUUUUCGGUGUAGGAUGGGCUCGCGGCCUAUCAGCUUGUUGGUGGGGUGAUGGCCUACCAAGGCGGCGACGGGUAGCCGGCCUGAGAGGGUGGACGGCCACAUUGGGACUGAGAUACGGCCCAGACUCCUACGGGAGGCAGCAGGGGGGAAUUUUGUACAAUGGGCGCAAGCCUGAUGCAGCGACGCCGCGUGGGGGAUGACGGCCUUCGGGUUGUAAACUCCUUUCGCUAGGGACGAAGCUUUUUGUGACGGUACCUAGAUAAGAAGCACCGGCUAACUACGUG